UACUUGGUAUCAAUGCAAAUCCAAAACCCACCACAACCCAAACCAUUAGAAAGAAUCCUAACCCAACACUACCACUAAUCUACAGAAUCCUCCAAUAAUAAAAGACCCCAAAAAACAAACAAAUUAAUGAGAAAUCCCUUUUGGGAUUUUCUUUUCCAUCAUAAGAUGGGUUAGAAUGUUAGAUUUGGUCCAACAAUUUCGGGGUUCAUGUAUUGAUGUGUUUCCGACAGCUAAAUAUCAUCCUAACAAGAUCUUGAUCACAAUCUGUUCUCCAUCCCGCCUUUUACAACGUUCCCUUUCUCUGCUUUUAACUCAAUGAUGUCACAACCUACUGAUUCUGCUGCUUUAUUCAAUUUUUUGGGAUGUUGUUCUCUUAUUCUCCAGUAAUCGGUCUGAUUAUUAUUAUUGUGAUGAUUUUCUACUCUUAGUUCUACUGCCUCAGACUGCCAGUUGCUUAUUUCACUAGUAUUAUUUGAUCUGUGGUGCUCUUAAUUACUGGUUUUUAUGAUGGAUAAUUUGGGAGAGUCACCUAUUCAAGGCACUCACAUAGCCACCACGCAUCAGUCAAUCACUUCUGAGAGAUUAAAUGGCACUAAUUUCAAGACUUGGUCUAGGUCGGUUGUUUAUGACUUGACUAGUAGAGGUGUUGAGGCUUUAAUUGAUGGAAGUCAUGUUGAGGCUAUUAUUGUUUUUUUUGGUUGGCAAGUGAGGUUGUAGAGACCCCUACCUCUUUUAAAUUAUGUGUGGAAACUUAUAUCAACAAUCUGCUGUU
rnacentral:lncRNA from 1 species